rnacentral:lncRNA from 1 species
AUGGCACAUGCAUCAACAAAGGGAGUCACUAAUUACUUGAAACCAUCUGUUACUGGUUUUCUUUUGCAAAAUGAAGAUGGGGUUUAUGUACCUACUGAUGUUAAGGUUAAGCAAAUGAAGGGUGCUAGGCCUGAUUGUAUUAUUGUUCAGAAGAAGCUUAGUAGGGAUAGAGUUGUUACUACUUAUGAAGUUAGGGAUAAGCCUUCUGCAUUUAAACCCGAAGAUUGGGACCGUGUUGUCACGUUUUUUGUCUUGGGAAAAGAUUGGCAGUUCAAGGACUGGCUUUAG